rnacentral:rRNA from 1 species
GAUGAACGCUAGCUACAGGCUUAACACAUGCAAGUCGAGGGGCAGCACAGUGUAGCAAUACAUGGGUGGCGACCGGCGCACGGGUGCGUAACGCGUAUCCAACCUUCCCGUUACUCAGGGAUAGCCUUCCGAAAGGGAGAUUAAUACCUGAUGGUGUUCAAAUUCCGCAUGUUAUUUGAACUAAAGAUUUAUCGGUAACGGAUGGGGAUGCGUGACAUUAGGUAGAUGGCGGGGUAACGGCCCACCAUGCCUACGAUGUCUAGGGGUUCUGAGAGGAAGGUCCCCCACACUGGAACUGAGACACGGUCCAGACUCCUACGGGAGGCAGCAGUGAGGAAUAUUGGUCAAUGGUCGGAAGACUGAACCAGCCAAGUAGCGUGAAGGAUGAAGGUUCUAUGGAUUGUAAACUUCUUUUAUACGGGAAUAAAACCUCCCACGUGUGGGAGCUUGUAUGUACCGUAUGAACAAGCAUCGGCUAACUCCGUGCCAGCCGCCGCGGUAACAC